UCGGGUCCCGUUCCACACCGUGGAAGCUUU
rnacentral:piRNA from 1 species